ensembl:lncRNA
UAACAUUUAACAGCUUGUGGGAUGCAUGACAUCAUAUUAUCAAAUUCAAGCAAACUUUUAAAACAUUUAAAAUAGCAUUAUUUUGGGCAUAAUAAAUAAUGCUAUAUUUAAUAAUGAUGUGAAAUAAUUAAAUAAAUAUAUAAAAUGACGCUAAUUGAAAUGUUUCUAAAAAAAUUAAAUUUACUUGCAUUUGAUAAGAAGCUGCGUGGGCGAAAACGACAUCUCAUCGCUGGUCUGGUUACUGGUAUAGGGCUAUAGCCAAGCUGAAAGGCCAUUAAAGCUGCCUUAGAACUGUGCAUGCAAAUGCAGUGAUUUUCCAAACUGUCCCGGAGCAGCAUACCUUCCUCAUCUAACACACCCGAUUUAGCUCCUCAGCUCAUCAUAGGGACUUUCAGACCUGAAGAGGGUAAGAAAAGGUGAAGACUAUCGUGAGAAAAACCUCAGCUAUCUGAACACCAUCCAAAGUAACCACAGACUGUAUAGAAACAGAAAGUAACCUAAUAACCAACUCCGCCUGAGAGGAGGUGCUGGAAUUCUGUAACUGUCAGUGUUAUUUAUCUUAGAUCUUCCAUCCCACCUUCAUUUUUUCUCAUGUGUUAUAAAUCCCCUGCUGAACACCUCCAUGAAGAAUAUUUCAAUUAUGUGCUGAGAAGCAUUCUCCUGUAGUCUACUAUAUCGUUUAUUCUGGGCUCUGGACGAAGUAUACCCCUAAAUCCAGGCAAGGGAGUUCACUUCUCGAAUCUAAUCGAACAUGCAGAACUCCAAUACAACAUGGUCUGGAGUCACACACGUGUGUCCUUCAGUGUCCAUCUGUCUGUCUGCUGUCUGGAAGACACUGACUUCUGUCUUUCCCCUUAGAGUUGCAGCCAAUGGGUUCAUAGAGAUGGACGCUGACUCUAUGGAUUUUCCUCUCUCUGUUGAGGAGACCCGACCAGAACCAGUCCAGAGUUCAGUGCGUCCGUGUCCAUUCACUCACAGAGGAUGAUGAGGAUGAUGAGGAUGAUGAUGAAGAUGACCAGCUUCAGGGGUCAAUAGAUAAACCGAUGUGCUGGACAUUCACAUUUUUCUUCACUUUGUAUGAAAUGGUUUCUGUGAACACUUAUUAAAACUAUGAUUAUUAAAUGAAAUUUCAUUUUUUUUUUUUACAUUUCCAUCUUUAGAUCUGUUUGCUCAUCUCUAAAUUAACGACUACAGGACGUUUCCUAUCAGAUGUCAAAUAGACGUUUAGAAGAUGUCUUUAAGAUGUUUAUGAUUUAAAAUGAAUUUAAAACUGACGUCUUAAAGACGUCUACACAGCAGAUGUUUUCCAGAUGAAGAGAUCCUUAAUAGACCUCUUGCAGACAUGCGUGUGCUAUCUGGAAAAGCAUUUGCUAUUGAUUAAAAGGAAAAAUUUAAAUAAAUAAUUUAAAGAUGAAACCA